UGACCUUGGAAAUCAACUGUGGGUGAACCUGGCGGCACAGCGGUAGGCGACCCGUACUUGGUUUCAAGGGUCA
rnacentral:pre_miRNA from 1 species